rnacentral:rRNA from 6 species
CCUGACUCCAUUCCGAACUCAGAAGUGAAACGAAAUAGCGCCGAUGGUAGUGUGGGGUUUCCCCAUGUGAGAGUAGGACAUCGCCAGGUU